GAUGAACGCUGGCGGCGUGCUUAACACAUGCAAGUCGAACGAAGCGCUUAAGCUGAUUUCUUCGGAUUGAUUCUUGAGUGACUGAGUGGGCGGACGGGUGAGUAACGCGUGGGUAACCUGCCUCAUACAGGGGGAUAACAGUCAGAAAUGGCUGCUAAUACCGCAUAAGCGCACAGUACCGCAUGGUACAGUGUGAAAAACUCCGGUGGUAUGAGAUGGACCCGCGUCUGAUUAGCUGGUUGGUGGGGUAACGGCCCACCAAGGCGACGAUCAGUAGCCGGCCUGAGAGGGUGAACGGCCACAUUGGGACUGAGACACGGCCCAA
rnacentral:rRNA from 1 species